AGAGUUUGAUCCUGGCUCAGGACGAACGCUGGCGGCGCGCCUAACACAUGCAAGUCGAACGAGCGAGAGAGAGCUUGCUUUCUCGAGCGAGUGGCGAACGGGUGAGUAACGCGUGAGGAACCUGCCUCAAAGAGGGGGACAACAGUUGGAAACGACUGCUAAUACCGCAUAAGCCCACGGGUCGGCAUCGACCAGAGGGAAAAGGAGCAAUCCGCUUUGAGAUGGCCUCGCGUCCGAUUAGCUAGUUGGUGAGGUAACGGCCCACCAAGGCGACGAUCGGUAGCCGGACUGAGAGGUUGAACGGCCACAUUGGGACUGAGACACGGCCCAGACUCCUACGGGAGGCAGCAGUGGGGAAUAUUGCACAAUGGGGGAAACCCUGAUGCAGCGACGCCGCGUGGAGGAAGAAGGUCUUCGGAUUGUAAACUCCUGUUGUUGAGGAAGAUAAUGACGGUACUCAACAAGGAAGUGACGGCUAACUACGUGCCAGCAGCCGCGGUAAAACGUAGGUCACAAGCGUUGUCCGGAAUUACUGGGUGUAAAGGGAGCGCAGGCGGGAAGACAAGUUGGAAGUGAAAUCUAUGGGCUCAACCCAUAAACUGCUUUCAAAACUGUUUUUCUUGAGUAGUGCAGAGGUAGGCGGAAUUCCCGGUGUAGCGGUGGAAUGCGUAGAUAUCGGGAGGAACACCAGUGGCGAAGGCGGCCUACUGGGCACCAACUGACGCUGAGGCUCGAAAGUGUGGGUAGCAAACAGGAUUAGAUACCCUGGUAGUCCACACCGUAAACGAUGAUUACUAGGUGUUGGAGGAUUGACCCCUUCAGUGCCGCAGUUAACACAAUAAGUAAUCCACCUGGGGAGUACGACCGCAAGGUUGAAACUCAAAGGAAUUGACGGGGGCCCGCACAAGCAGUGGAGUAUGUGGUUUAAUUCGAAGCAACGCGAAGAACCUUA
rnacentral:rRNA from 1 species